rfam:Rasamsonia emersonii CBS 393.64 ctg1118621760101, whole genome shotgun sequence.
GCCUUUGUAGUGUAAUGGUUCAUCACGUCGGAUUCUGAUUCCGGAAAUCCUGGUUCGAUUCCAGGCAGGGGCU